rnacentral:lncRNA from 1 species
AGCCCUGCGCUUCCCCAGGUGAACCGGGCAGGAGCCUGUUGGGAAGGCAGCGACCCACAUCUGUGUGCACCUUUGUGGAUUUCAGGUUCCGGACGCAGGCGACCAAGCCAGAGCCAGCGCUGUCAUACGCAGAGCACCUGCCGAGCCAUGUGACGUGCUGCUCUCUGCCAGCCCUGAUCGCCUUCCUUUCCAGCAGGACUUGCGCUUUACACUGGACCUUGAGGCCCCAUGGAGAUCUGCCAUUUUGGACAGGUUCUGCUCACAGUGCCAGUAACUUCACCUAGGAAAAGAGCGACAACUUCAAGGCCGCAUGACCCAUCUGAUUUUCAUCACACAGGUCCCCACAGGAGAAUUUCCAUGGCGUUUCUCACUCUGUUUGCAAAGAAUUUCUUUUUUUAUCAUUUUCUUUUUCUUUUUCUAUUUUCUUUUUCCUUUUUUUUUUUUUUUUGAGACAGAGUCUCUCUCUGUUGCCCAGGCUGGAGUGCAGUGGCACGACCUCAGCUCGCUGCAACCUCCGCCUCCUGGGUUCAAGCAAUUCUCCUGCCUCAGCCUCCCGAGUAGCUGGGAUUACGGGCACACACCACAACGCUCAGCUAAUUUUUGUAUUUUUAGAAAAGACAGGGUUUUACCAUGUUGCCCAGGCUGGUCUCGAUCUUCUGAGCUCGUGAUCCACCUGCCUCGGCCUCUAAAGUGCUGGGAUUACAGGUGUGAGCCACCACACCUAGCCUAAGAAUUUCUUAGAAUUAAUAUCUGCACUUGGCCCCACAUCCUCUGAGUGAUAAAUUAGAACUGUCACUUUAAUUGUUGAGAGAGGAUAUUCAGAGAAUAGUGGGUGAUUUUACAAGCAAGGAUAUGUUUGGGGAGCAUGUUCCCGGUGCAUUCUCAGGGUCUCGUGCAUUCUUUUAGACACUGAAGACAUCCUGAUCUCCAGUGGAAGCAGAGCCACAGUCAUACACUUAUCCACCGGGGACGAGUUCCAAGACCCCCAGGGAAUGCCUGAAACCUCGGAUAGUGCUUACCUCUAUGGAUGUUGUGCACAAAUUUAUUUUUCCCUCUUUACAACUUCAUAGAUUGAAGGUUCGUUCUUACCAAAGAUCUUAGCAACCUUAGCUUAUCAUUCCUUUUAUUUCCUCAUUAAGUGGAGAACUUUCACCUUUUCACUAAAAAAAAAAAAAAAAGUGCUUUACGGCUGCCUUUGCCACGUGCACAUGGUCUUUUGGGACCAUCCUUAAGUCAAAUAAGGGUGACCUGGAUGCAAGCACUGUGAUACAGAGAAAGUCCAGCUCACCACCAAGAUGGCUACUGAGCCGCUGGUGGGCGCGGAGUGUCGUGUCUGCAGCGUGAACAUGCCGGGCAAAGGAAUAAUGCAUGUCAGGGAUAAGGUGGAGAAGGACUGUGCCAGGCUUCAUCACGCUACUCAGAAUGGCACACAGUUUAGAACUUAUAAAUGAUUUAUUUCUGGAGUGAUCCACUGCAUAUUUUCAGACGGUGGUUGGUCAUGGGUAACUGAAAGCAAAACCUGACUGAAAGGGGCUGCUGUGUUCAUGUCAGCAAUGCUGAUGCCCUCGAGGCCAGAAGAGUAACCACCAAUCUGGUACCUGAGCACCUGGCUGUAAGUCCACCCUCCAUUUCUGGCCAGGGCCGAGGAAUUCUCUCUUCUUCUCUUUAUUUUCCUCUUGAUUUGAGAAGGUCAACUCUGAGCAUGCUCUAAACACAAAUCAGCAUCUCUACACUUCUUCGGCACCAGCUGUUGCUACUGUCUUUCUGAUUAGAAAAAAAGAAAUAUCCAGGAAUUCUGGAAGACGGUGAUUGAUUUGCAGCUAUGCUGCGAUGGAGCUAAGAAUCAUUAGCACAACCCGUGCUGGUGUUCGACAAGACGCCCAAUCAAUUCAUCCGAUGACAGGUGCGCUGUAUCUGCGAAGCGCGAAGCCGCGGAGUGAGGUGCUGACCAGGCUCCACCAGGAGCAAAGAACAAGACUCCCCAGGGGCUCCUGGUCCACAGAAGGCAGGGACGCCCACAAACAUACCAUGAGUAAAUAGUUCCAAUGUGAAGAAGACUGAAAAUGCCACAGAAGUGUGAGCCGAGUGUUUUGAAAUUCUUUCUGCUGAAGGGAUUGAGAAGAACUCUUCCAUAAAGGAGCAUGACCGAGCCAUGAGUUAUAAUAUAUACAUGCAUAUAGAAAGAGGAUGUGAAUACAGUUGCAGAAGGGCAUCAAAGCAGAAAACACAGAGGGAAUGACUUGAGGAAGCUGAGGACCAAGAGCAGUGCUAGCCAUGCCAGUGACUGUGGUCGCUGAGAAGCUGGAUGAUGGAUGUUUGAGUGACCGUCAGGAGGAUCAGCUUGGUACCAGGAGGAUCAGCAUGGGACCAGGAAACAGCAGGCGAGUGAAUGUGAACUCCACUCUCAACAGGGAGAUGACGUGGUCUCGGAAACCUACAGAUCUGAGUGCUUGCUGUCAGGUCAUGGCAGGGCUCUGACCGCACUGUGGAGGGAACAUCUGUGUUUUUGUCCUCCUGGAACCUAGUGCCCCUUUCCUGGAGGCAGCAUCCUAUUUGACCUGUGUGGGUCCAACCCCACCUCUCUCCUGUAGCAGUGGCAUGGGACCCGGGGCUGGGCCAUUCGCAGCAUUGCCACAGGCACCAAUGGUGAUUGAUCUACGAGUUGAUCAUUGAUCCUAACUGGGUGCUCAGGCCAAGGGGAUUGAUUCUUGGUAUUUUUUUAUCUCUUUUUUCCACUGGAAUUAUAGCUAAUAUGAUGAAGCCUAGAUAUACUGCGUAUCUGGCUUUUAGACAGGGCAAACCUGCCUAGAAAUGAAAAUGAAGUCACCACCUGUGAAAGCAGAAACAAGAGCUUGAGAGAGACUGAGUCCUGGUGAGAAUUUCUGAACCCCUUGAUCCAGCGAUGCCUGAAGCCAGAACUACUUGUAAACUUUUCAGUCAUGCAAUCCUGUCACUUCUGUUUGUUCUUAAGUGCAUUUUGUAUGGUUUCUGCCACUGACCACAGAAACGUCCUUCACUAACAGGGAAGCAGAGUUACCCCAUUUGAGAGCCUCAGAAGGAAGAUGGCAUUCAUGCAAAGGAAGCAUGCGUUUGCUCUCACUUCCCGAGAGAAAGCCUGAAAAUGAAGCCAAUCUCAUUUUCUUUCAGAGAUGAGUCUCUUGAUCAGAGAAUGCCUCAGUUCCCUGUAUCUAAAUUUUAGCAAGUGAGAGAAUGCCUCAGUCCCCUGUAUCUGAAUUUUAGCAAGCGAGAGAAUGCAUUUAGGACAAGCAACAGCGAUGGCUCCAGUGUGUUCUUGGCUGCUCUGUUUCUAAAUGAAUAUUCACCUGGAGGCAGCCUUUGCUGCAGGGACACCCAGAUCUCACCUUGUUCUUGUUCUUUUCAAUCAUUUUAGCAAAGGCUCAGCCUACUGAUACGAUUUAGAGAUGAGCCAUGAAAGCAGAUAUUUAGAUAAUAUUUUCCCAACUGCCUGGAGCAUUAGGUUAGAACUAGUGAGAUAAAAAUAUAAUGAAAAUAAUAGAAAGCUUUGACCCUCAGAUUU